rnacentral:ncRNA from 1 species
UCCCCGCCGGAAGAAUAGGGAAGUCGGGUGCGAAUCCCGCGCGGUCACGCCGCUGUAUUGGACGAGCAGAGUCUGUUUUACAUCACUGUGAAAAUGGGAAGAUGAGAUUCUGUGAGGAAGCCUGAGCCAGAAGACCUGCCUGAGAGUAU